rnacentral:rRNA from 1 species
UACGGGGGGGGGCAAGCGUUUGUUCGGAAUUACUGGGCGUAAAGGGCUCGUAGGCGCCAACUAAGUCAUACGUGAAAUCCCUCGGCUUAACCGGGGAACUGCGUCUGAUACUGGAUGGCUUGAGUUCGGGAGAGGGAUGCGGAAUUCCAGGUGUAGCGGUGAAAUGCGUAGAUAUGCGGAGGAACACCGAUGGCGAAGGGCAAUCCCCCUGGGCCUGCACUGACGCUCAUGCACGAAAGCGUGGGGAGCAACAGG